rnacentral:lncRNA from 1 species
CAGCCAGAACAACAGCAAUGUCAACAGGCUGCUGAAUGCUGGAGUUGAUCAACCACUGCUGUUCACGAGAUCAUCAACAUUUGUGAAGGUCUCUGGUAUUUACGUAUGCAAGGCUGGACAAAAGCACAAAACUGAAGCUUAUUCCUCUCAAGGUGGGUACUUGAAAGUAUGUGCACCAAUUUUAGUCAGAAAUUUAAACCUUAUGUGAGGGAUCAACUAAAAAGAGUCAAGA